GAUGAACGCUGGCGGCGUGCCUAAUACAUGCAAGUCGAGCGAACGGACGAGAAGCUUGCUUCUCUGAUGUUAGCGGCGGACGGGUGAGUAACACGUGGAUAACCUACCUAUAAGACUGGGAUAACUUCGGGAAACCGGAGCUAAUACCGGAUAAUAUUUUGAACCGCAUGGUUCAAAAGUGAAAGACGAUCUUGCUGUCACUUAUAGAUGGAUCCGCGCUGCAUUAGCUAGUUGGUAAGGUAACGGCUUACCAAGGCAACGAUGCAUAGCCGACCUGAGAGGGUGAUCGGCCACACUGGAACUGAGACACGGUCCAGACUCCUACGGGAGGCAGCAGUAGGGAAUCUUCCGCAAUGGGCGAAAGCCUGACGGAGCAACGCCGCGUGAGUGAUGAAGGUCUUCGGAUCGUAAAACUCUGUUAUUAGGGAAGAACAUAUGUGUAAGUAACUGUGAACAUCUUGACGGUACCUAAUCAGAAAGCCACGGCUAACUACGUG
rnacentral:rRNA from 1 species